UGCCCCAUGGCUGAGUUGGUUACAGCGUCCGACUGUUAAGCUUCUAGAGCAAAGAUAAUCGGAAGGUCGUGAGUUCGAGCCUCACUGGGGCAG
rnacentral:tRNA from 1 species